AGAGUUUGAUCCUGGCUCAGAACGAACGCUGGCGGCAGGCCUAACACAUGCAAGUCGAACGCCCCGCAAGGGGAGUGGCGCACGGGAGAGUAUCGCGUGGGAACGUACCUUUUAGUACGGAAGAACCAUUAGGAAUGAUGGCUAAUAACGUAUAGUCCCUCCGGGGUAAAGAUUUAUCGCCGAGAGAUGAGCCCGCGUCAGAUUAGCUAGUUGGUAAGGUAAUGGCUUACCAAGGCGACGAUUGGUAGCUGGUUUGAGAGGAUGAUCAGCCACACUGGAACUGAGACACGGUCCAGACUCCUACGGGAGGCAGCAGUGGGGAAUAUUGCGCAAUGGAGGAAACUCUGACGCAGCCAUGCCGCGUGAGUGAAGAAGGCCUUCGGGUUGUAAAGCUCUUUUACCUGUGAUGAUAAUGACAGUAGCAGGAGAAAAAGCUCCGGCUAACUUCGUGCCAGCAGCCGCGGUAAUACGAAGGGAGCGAGCGUUGUUCGGAAUUACUGGGCGUAAAGCGUGCGUAGGCGGUUUAGCAAGUUAGAAGUGAAAGCCCUGGGCUCAACCUAGGAAUUGCUUUUAAAACUGCUAAACUAGAAUCUCGGAGGGGAUGGUGGAAUUUCCAGUGUAGAGGUGAAAUUCGUAGAUAUUGGAAGGAACACCAGUGGCGAAGGCGACCAUCUGGACGAGUAUUGACGCUGAGGCACGAAAGCGUGGGGAGCAAACAGGAUUAGAUACCCUGGUAGUCCACGCCGUAAACGAUGUAAACUAGCCGUUGGGACCUUAGGUUUUUCAGUGGCGCAGCUAACGCACUAAGUUUACCGCCUGGGGAGUACGGCCGCAAGGUUAAAACUCAAAGGAAUUGACGGGGACCCGCACAAGCGGUGGAGCAUGUGGUUUAAUUCGAUGCAACGCGCAGAACCUUACCCACACUUAACUUCCUCUUGGGGCUUUCAGAGAUGAUCGCUUUCGGUUCGGCCGGGGAGUGAAUAGGUGCUGCAUGGCUGUCGUCAGCUCGUGUCGUGAGAUGUUAGGUUAAGUCCUGCAACGAGCGCAACCCUUAUCGUAUGUUGCCAUCAGGUUAUGCUGGGAACUCAUGCGAGACUGCCGGUGACAAGCCGGAGGAAGGCGGGGACGACGUCAAGUCAUCAUGGCCCUUACGUGUGGGGCUACAAACGUGCUACAAUGGUAACGACAAUGGGCAGCCACUUCGCAAGAAGGCGCUAAUCUCCAAACGUUAUCUCAGUUCGGAUUGUUCUCUGCAACUCGAGAGCAUGAAGUUGGAAUCGCUAGUAAUCGUGCAUCAGCAUGUCACGGUGAAUACGUUCCCGGGUCUUGUACACACCGCCCGUCACGUCAUGGGAGUUGGUUCUACCCGAAGGCGGUACGCUAACCUAUGGAGGCAGCGGACCACGGUAGGAUCAGCGACUGGGAGUAAGUCGUAACAAGGUAGCCGUAGGGGAACCUGCGGCUGGAUCACCU
rnacentral:rRNA from 1 species